GUCACUGUCUGAUGAUUUGAAUUCUCCGGUUGUGAAGUUCUUCGUCUUCAAUCAUUCGUCAUCGCGCUGACCUCAUCUUGUUCAUUUCCAUUUUUCGAUACUCUCUCUCUCUUCUUUGUGUUCAUUUCUCCAAAAGAUUUAGUUAAAAAGUGAAAAAUGAUGCAAAACUUUUGCUCCAGAAAGUGGAGUGAAAAAUGUUGCUGUCAAAUCGUUUUCUUCUCCCCAAUUUUUUUCAUUUUAGUUCACCAAAAGCUUCCGUUAAAAAAGGUCAUGAAAUUCUACAGAUCCGUCUUCCAAUUGCAAUAUUAUUCGAUUUCCAGAGGGUUUUCACAUUAAUUUUGGAUCAUGUUUCGGGUCCUACUUCGAGAAUCUAGACUUUCGAGUCAAUAAUGUCGCUGAGUUGAACUUGGAAGAAGUUAAAAUAGGUUGCUCGGUUUGAUUUGGGAGUACAGUUUUGAGAUUUCUAGCCUCGUCCUUAGGCUAAUGGCUCAGAGUUUGCAAGUACCAAAAUUUGGGAAGUGGGAUGAUGGGGAGGAUGUCCCGUAUACGACCUAUUUUGACAAUGCAACAAAGGCUAUUUCCGAGAGGUUGAAUUUAAAUGAUCCUCUUCAACAAGAGGAGAUUUCGAAGCAACACGAAACUAGAGAAGGUGUUGUGAGGAGGCAAGCCGAGUCUCCAUUGCACCGGGAUGGUUCAGAACUGCCUGGUCAAGAUUAUGACAGUUUAAAAUCAACCACGAGUCGGGGUCAACAAGCAUUAAGGCAAAAGUACACUCAAGAACAUUCGAGCUUGGAAGAUGGUAAUGCAAAAAAACACCUUGAAUCUCCUUUGGACCAUCAAACAAGGAGUUGGGUUAGCUUUAAUUCCCCUCUUCAUCAACGCCAGGGAAACAACAUGGCCACUUUGAGAAAUGGCGCAGCUUCUGACAGCAACAUAGAAAAUCCAUCUCUCCAUACACGACAGCAUCCAAGGACCGAAGCAAAAAGCGUUGUACCAUCUUCGCCGUUACGGGACCGUAGGGGUUUGAGUUCACAUAAAGGAGGUUGUCAUGAUGGUAUAACUCCCUUGACUCCUGGAAGAUCACGUCAACAAUCCGCUCCUCGGGGCAAUGAAACUCCUGAUCGUAGCCCCACAGUUCCAAGAUUUGGUGACUGGGAUGAGAGCGAUCCAACAUCAUCUGAGAACUACACAAGUAUUUUCACCAGAGUACGUGAGGAGAGACAAACUGAGGAAGAAGGGGGUUUUCCGGUGGGGACUAACAUUUCUCAUGCUGACCGUCGUAAUCGAUCCGAUGCCGAAAAUUCUAGGUUUUCCGGUGGGGACUAACAUUUCUCAUGCUGACCGUCGUAAUCGAUCCGAUGCCGAAAAUUCUAAGAAAUGUUGCUGUUUUCCAUGGGGAAAAUGACUGUGGGGAAGUUUUUGUUCUUCCAGUAAGGAAUGAAAAUGAUGGGAAAUUUUCGUUUAAUGGAAACCCGAAUGCCAGCAGGUACGAAUCGAGAACCAUUCUAGAGAGGAGCUAGAAUUUUGAGUGAUUUCAAACUUAGAUUGAUCGAUUGAUUUUAGGUGUAUUUGUCAUUUAGUAUUCCUUGAAAUAGAAUUCAAAUCCUAUUUUUACUUUUAUUGGCUCUACAUAGAUGGAAUUUCUGAAAUUACCAUUUCAUUCUUUUUUUUCUUUUUUGUAUUAGUGAAGUUCUUAUUGUUUUUCC